AACUCUCAACGACGGAUAUCUAGGCUCUUGCAACGAUGAAGAACGCAGCGAAAUGCGAUACGUAGUGUGAAUUGCAGAAUUCCGUGAACCAUCGAAUUUUUGAACGCAUAUUGCGCUCAAGGCUUCGGCCAAGAGCAUGUUUGCCUCAGCGUCG
rnacentral:rRNA from 1 species